rnacentral:rRNA from 1 species
UACGGGGGGAGCAAACGUUGUUCGGAAUCACUGGGCGUAAAGGGCGUGUAGGCGGCUGAAUAAGUGGGAUGUUAAAUCCCCCGGCUUAACCGGGGACCUGCAUCUCAUACUGUUCAGCUCGAGCACAUCAGAGGAGACUGGAAUUCCCGGUGUAGCGGUGAAAUGCGUAGAUAUCUGGAGGAACACCGGUGGCGAAGGCGGCAUCCUGGACCGGUAUUGACGCUGAGGCGCGAAAGCCAGGGGAGCAAACGGG